AUGAACGCUGGCGGCGUGCCUAAUCCAUGCAAGUCGAGCGAACGGACGAGAAGCUUGCUUUUCUGAUGUUAGCGGCGGACGGGUGAGUAACACGUGGAUAACCUACCUAUAAGACUGGGAUAACUUCGGGAAACCGGAGCUAAUACCGGAUAAUAUUUUGAACCGCAUGGUUCAAAAGUGAAAGACGGUCUUGCUGUCACUUAUAGAUGGAUCCGCGCUGCAUUAGCUAGUUGGUAAGGUAACGGCUUACCAAGGCAACGAUGCAUAGCCGACCUGAGAGGGUGAUUGGCCACACUGGAACUGAGACACGGUCCAGACUCCUACGGGAGGCAGCAGUAGGGAAUCUUCCGCAAUGGGCGAAAGCCUGACGGAGCAACGCCGCGUGAGUGAUGAAGGUCUUCGGAUCGUAAAACUCUGUUAUUAGGGAAGAACAUAUGUGUAAGUAACUGUGCACAUCUUGACGGUACCUAAUCAGAAAGCCACGGCUAACUACGU
rnacentral:rRNA from 1 species